rnacentral:rRNA from 1 species
AUUGAACGCUGGCGGCAUGCUUUACACAUGCAAGUCGAACGGUAACAGGCCUUCGGUUGCUGACGAGUGGCGGACGGGUGCGUAAUGCAUCGGAACGUACCCAGUGGUGGGGGAUAAGGCAGCGAAAGCUGUGCUAAUACCGCAUGCGAUAUGAGGAUGAAAGCGGGGGACCGCGAAGCAAUGUUUGGGUCCGCGUCUUUGGUACGGACGAUGUCGGAUUAGCUAGUUGGUGGGGUAAAGGCCUACCAAGGCGACGAUCCGUAGCUGGUCUGAGAGGACGACCAGCCACACUGGAACUGAGACACGGCCCAGACUCCUACGGGAGGCAGCAGUGGGGAAUUUUGGACAAUGGGCGCAAGCCUGAUCCAGCAAUGCCGCGUGAGGGAAGAAGGCCUUCGGGUUGUAAACCGCUUUUGGCAGGAACGAAACGGUGUCCGCUAAUACCGGGCGCUAAUGACGGUACCUGCAGAAUAAGCACCGGCUAACUACGUG